GAAGAACUUGUAGCUGGGCCGCUGCAGGACGCCCUUGAAGUCGGCCAGGGUGACGCGCUCGGCGGGCAGGGGCAGCUUCACCAGAUCUCUCACUGAAAAAUACUGGGAUUAAUGAAGUUAAUUGGCGUGGGAGGAGUGAUGCCUGGAAACAAAAAAUGGAUUUGAGGUGUUGAUUUACAAGCCGGAGACGCACAGCUUCCGCCUCGCUACGAAAACCUCCCUCCCCACUCCAAGGGAAGCAAUGAGCUGUAAUUUUUUUUUUUUUUUCCCACAGGGCCCGGCCUGGGGAAGGGGGCCAAAGUAAUAACAGAAAGUCUUAAAAUUUUUAUUAAUAAAUACAAGCAGCAAAAGGA